GUUUGUUGGAAUUUUGAGGCUAGGAAGGUGAGAUGGAUUUCUGAGAGAAGGAGGAAAAUGGAUGCCCUCUCCCCAGAAAUCAAGUUCAUCAUAUGGAAAAUGCAGAUCUCCAGGAUGAAUUCAUUGUACUCAAGAAAUGUCGACUUGACCCAUCUCCUCGUCUUCCCCAUGAGAAGUCCACAUCAAUCUUCUCUUGGACUAGUUAUUGUAGACUCUUUACCACAAAUCACUUCUUAACAAGGAACAGGUAACAU